rnacentral:lncRNA from 1 species
UUUUUUUUUUUUUUGAGUAAAAGUCCUGUGCUUAAGCCAGUGAAUAGAAAAUCCAAGUCCAAAUUGCUUCCUUUGCAGUUGCCUGGUAUCAGCCUAAGGUGGAGGGCAGGACCAUAUUCUUUCCACCAGAAAUAAGUAGAGUUAUCUGAAGUGUUAAAUUAAGGAAUGCAUGGGCUGUGCAGUGAGACGUUGCCAACCAGGGGUCAGGGAUUCCUCCUGAAAGGAGGUGACUGUGUCAGGGAGGAAGUGGACAGGGAUCCUGGCCCACCAGUGCUGGAGCAGGCUGUGGGACUUGAGCCCCAUGGAGCCUGUGUCCAACUUGCACUAUUCCUUCCAGGGACAAGGCCCCUGGACAGAGGGAGUGUGAUUACUCCAUCGAUGGCAUCAACCGGUGCAUCCGGGACAUCGAGCAGGCCUCGCUGGCCGCCGUCAGCCAGAGCCUGGCCACGAGGGACGACAUCUCUGUGGAGGCCCUGCAGGAGCAGCUGACUUCGGUGGUCCAGGAAAUC